GGACCUGGCCGAGCAGGAGGCGCCAUCAUGGGAGUUGACAUCCGCCACAACAAGGAUGGAAAGGUUCGGCGCAAGGAGCCCAAGAGCCAGGAUAUCUACCUGAGGCUGUUGGUCAAGUUGUACAGGUUUCUGGCCAGAAGAACCAAUUCCACAUUCAACCAGGUUGUGCUGAAGAGGUUGUUUAUGAGUCGCACCAACCGGCCGCCUCUGUCCCUUUCCCGGAUGAUCCGGAACAUGAAGCUUCCUGGCCGGGAAAACAAAAUGGCCGUGGUUGUGGGGACCAUAACGGAUGACGUGCGGGUUCAGGAGGUGCUCAAACUGAAGGUAUGUGCAUUGCGCGUAACCAGCCGGCCCGCAGCCGCAUCCUCAGGGCAGGGGGCAAGAUCCUCACUUUCGACCAGUUGGCCCUGGACUCCCCCAAGGGCUGCAGCACUGUCCUGCUCUCCGGUCCUGGCAAGGGCCGAGAGGUGUACCGGCAUUUCGGCAAGGCCCCAGGAAUCGUGCACAGCCACACCAAACCCUAAGUCCGCUCCAAGGGCCGGAAGUUCGAGCGUGCCAGAGGCCGAUGGGCCAGCCGAGGCUACAAGAACUAACCUUGGAUCCUACCCUCUUAUUAAAAAGAUUUUGAAUGCUGAAAAAAAAAAAAA